rnacentral:rRNA from 1 species
GACGAACGCUGGCGGCGUGCCUAAUACAUGCAAGUUGAGCGAUGAAGAUUGGUGCUUGCACCAAUUUGAAGAGCAGCGAACGGGUGAGUAACGCGUGGGGAAUCUGCCUUUGAGCGGGGGACAACAUUUGGAAACGAAUGCUAAUACCGCAUAAUAACUUUAAACAUAAGUUUUAAGUUUGAAAGAUGCAAUUGCAUCACUCAAAGAUGAUCCCGCGUUGUAUUGGCUAGUUGGUGAGGUAAAGGCUCACCAAGGCGAUGAUACAUAGCCGACCUGAGAGGGUGAUCGGCCACAUUGGGACUGAGACACGGCCCAAACUCCUACGGGAGGCAGCAGUAGGGAAUCUUCGGCAAUGGACGAAAGUCUGACCGAGCAACGCCGCGUGAGUGAAGAAGGUUUUCGGAUCGUAAAACUCUGUUGGUAGAGAAGAACGUUGGUGAGAGUGGAAAGCUCAUCAAGUGACGGUAACUACCCAGAAAGGGACGGCUAACUACGUG